rnacentral:rRNA from 1 species
AGAGUUUGAUCCUGGCUCAGGAUGAACGCUAGCUACAGGCUUAACACAUGCAAGUCGAGGGGAAACGACAUCGAAAGCUUGCUUUUGAUGGGCGUCGACCGGCGCACGGGUGAGUAACGCGUAUCCAACCUGCCCACCACUUGGGGAUAACCUUGCGAAAGUAAGACUAAUACCCAAUGACGUCUCUAGAAGACAUCUGAAAGGGAUUAAAGAUUUAUCGGUGAUGGAUGGGGAUGCGUCUGAUUAGCUUGUUGGCGGGUAACGGCCACCAAGGCUACGAUCAGUAGGGUUCUGAGAGGAAGGUCCCCCANAUUGGAACUGAGACACGGUCCAAACUCCGACGGGAGCA